rnacentral:lncRNA from 1 species
ACCUGAUGUUGCAUGUGUUUUGGAAACUUUAAUUCUGAGGAUGAAUGCUGAGUCCAAAACAUGUAGAAAAUAUUGAGAAAUGUCUUGGGAAAUCAUCAUUUGUGUUUGAAGCUAAGCUGGCAAAGGAAGCAAUCAGUAUGAAAGAAAAUGUAUGCAAGGAAAAUGAAUGAGUCUGUUUCUAGUAAUGUGUAUCUCAACCAGCUCCACUUAUCAUCAAGAUUUUAACGUUUUUGUUUAUUCAGUGUUAGCAUUGUGCAUGAUAGUCCUGCCUCUCUGCAUUCCCUCUGUUCACCUGAUCUUGCAGUUGAGAUACUCAGACCUCAAACUAAGUUCCCACUGAAGGUGUUCUCUCUUACAUGCUUCAGGGUUGUUUCUCAAGGGACCAGAACUGGAAAUUCUGCAGUGCAGAAGGAAAGAAGAAUACAAGGGCAACCCUUCAACAACAGGGGUGAAGGCUGGUGGACGACUGCCCCAAGCUUUCUGCCCUACACAGGACAGGUCCAGGGGUUCACCCAUGUGGUUUCUCAGAGACUUCCCCACAGGAAUGAGCCCCGAGUGCACACAGCAAUACCUCAUUCAGCAACACAGCCUUUAGGAGGCGGCUUCUCUCCCUUCUCUUUUCCUGCUUCCCAUGUUACUAGUUUGAGUUCCCCCAAAGAUUCAGAUAAUCAGGGCACUAAUACAAAAUGAAGGGAAUUUAUAGAAAAUAUAUGGAAUAAAUUCUGCCACAAAAAAAUUAGUUGUUCAAGCGUAGUGUGAAGCAUAAUUUAUUUCAAUAUUUCAUUAUCAUGCAUAGGAUAUAUCACUAAUCCAGGAAUUAAAAUCAACUUAUUUAUUUCUAAUCUCCAGAAAUUUAUUAAUGACCCUUAUGUAUUGUAUGUCUUGCAGGUGCUAUAGUGGUUAUGCAGGACUCAGGUGCCAGCCCCUAAGGAAUAUGACCUGGAAUAUGGUGUGUCCAAAAAUACUAUCUUUGAUAGCUAAAAUGUCCAUGAGGAAAUCAUGUAAUAAAGACCUGAGCAUCCUACAUCUUCUCAAAUGCCACAAUACAACAAUGCAUUUGGAGAGUAGAUGCCGAUGCAAGCAGAAACCAACAAGUGAGAAAUCUUAUGUAAUCUGGACAAGAAAUGGCAUGUGGAGUCCUAAUGUGAAAACCAAAGAGAAAGAGUGAAGGCUACUGUUGGAGCUGAUGACCUAUGAUUCCCAAACAUAACCUGUCUUCAGAGAAGUGGCUGAAGAUAAGCAUUGUGUGGUGAGCUCCUGAAACCCCCGAUGUGAAAACCCAGCCCAGAACAAUCGGAAUAACUGCAGGAAGUUCCUAUGCAUCAGUUUGACGCUACCCAGGUGAUACCAUUAAGAAAUGAAAUUUGACAUUCUAAUUUCAUGUAAAAUCAAUUAAUUAAAUUAUGUG